UGGGUGUUGCGGCGCAAAUAAGAGAGAUGUAGAGGGAGAAAGAUGUUGAGGGAUAGAGGGGGUGCCGGCCUCCGUCGACGGCGGAGAAGUCGAGAGGGAGAGAGGGUGCAACUGUGUGUGUCGAGAGAAAGAACAAUAAUGGACUUGGGAAAGAUAGUUUUAAUUAGGGUCUUAAUUUCUUUAAUUUUUUUUUUAAAAGAAAACGACUCAAUUUCAUUGAAACGGCCCGAAAAAGAAGAUUACUUAGGAUGGAGGGAAUAUAUUUUUUAUUAAAUUAUUUUUAUUUUAUUGUUUAAAGUCUUAAACCCUAUUCUUUCUAAUCUGAAUCUCUCUCUGUGUGCAAUAACGAUUAACGCAACAUUCAACAAUAACAAAUCUCUCUCUCUUCGCGGCGUGACACCCAGUCGCCGGAGCCCACCCACUGACACCCAGUCCCGCCGUUCGCCGGUAGUCCCGCCGGCGCCGCGAGCCAACCUCCCAGCAGACCGUUCGAGAGAGGCGACUAGGCGAGAGCAGAGAGCCUGAGACUCCAGCUCUGAGCCUCGCCGCUCAACGCCGGUAGUCACGCCGCCGCAGCUCUGAACCUCGUCCCCUCGCCACCGGAUUCUCGUUUCGCCCCCGCGGGUAUGUUCGAAUUGAUGUUAUUUCCCCUUUUGUAUGAUUUUGCGCCUCCUCUCGAGAUGGUUGUGUUCUAUGGAAGCUGACAGGCUGACAGCAGCUGCUGGUUUCAAUUUCAUUAUCUCAACAUUGUUAUUGGCUUAUUGCAUUAUUGUUUCAGUUCAAUAUUGUGUAGGUUGGGUUAANCCGCCAGCGCCGCGAGCCAACCUCCCAACAGACCGUUCGAGAGAGGCGACUAGGCGAGAGCAGAGAGCCUGAGACUCCAGCUCUGAGCCUCGCCGCUCAACGCCGGUAGUCACGCCGC
rnacentral:lncRNA from 1 species